rnacentral:rRNA from 1 species
GAUGAACGCUGGCGGCGUGCCUAAUACAUGCAAGUCGAGCGAACGGACGAGAAGCUUGCUUCUCUGAUGUUAGCGGCGGACGGGUGAGUAACACGUGGAUAACCUACCUAUAAGACUGGGAUAACUUCGGGAAACCGGAGCUAAUACCGGAUAAUAUUUUGAACCGCAUGGUUCAAAAGUGAAAGACGUUCUUGCUGUCACUUAUAGAUGUAUCCGCGCUGCAUUAGCUAGUUGGUAAGGUAACGGCUUACCAAGGCAACGAUGCAUAGCCGACCUGAGAGGGUGAUCGGGCACACUGGAACUGAGACACGGUCCAGACUCCUACGGGAGGCAGCAGUGGGGAAUCUUGCGCAAUGGGCGAAAGCCGGACGGAGCAAGGCCGCGUGAGUGAUGAAGGUCUUCGGAUGGUAAAGCUCUGUUAGUAGGGAGGAAGAGAUGUGUGAGUAACUGUGGAGGUGUUGACGGUACCGAAUGAGAAAGCCACGGCUAACUACGUG